rnacentral:rRNA from 1 species
AAUAUUGCACAAUGGGCGAAAGCCUGAUGCAGCAACGCCGCGUGAACGAAGAAGGCCUUCGGGUCGUAAAGUUCUGUCCAAGAGGACGAUAAUGACGGUACUCCUGGAGGAAGCCCCGGCUAACUACGUGCCAGCAGCCGCGGUAAUACGUAGGGGGCAAGCGUUAACCGGAAUUAUUGGGCAUAAAGGGUGCGUAGGCGGGUUCUUAAGCGUGGGGUGAAAUGCAAUAGCUCAACGAUGGUAAGCCUUGCGAACUGGGGAGCUUGAGUGCAGGAGAGGAAAGCGGAAUUCCUAGUGUAGCGGUGAAAUGCGUAGAUAUUAGGAGGAACACCAGUGGCGAAGGCGGCUUUCUGGACUGUAACUGACGCUGAGGCACGAAAGCGUGGGUAGCGAAC